GACAGUCCGACUUUUCUAAGCGAAGAAGAGGAGGAGGUUAGGGUUUUAAAAAUCAAAAGUAUUUGAGUUUCUCUUAUUCACAGAGCUUCGAUUUCUCUCUGGAUAGUUCUUCGAUUUUCAUUUCAAAGAUGUCUUCUUCUUCAGCGAAGCAAAGAAGAGGAGACGAUGGAAGAAGAGGAGGUAACAUUUCUAAUGAAAUUAACAACUCAUCAUCAUCAAUUAUAGGUAGUAAUGUUGAUAUCUUGACUCUGAUUCUAACUCGAUUACCUUUAAAAUCACUACUUGUAUUCAAAUCUGUAUCUAAACAGUGGUUAUCUAUGAUUACUGAUCCCCAAUUUGUUCACAGACAUUUCCUUCAAAACCCUAGCUUCUCUGUCCCAGGAUUGUUCGUGGGAGAGGAAACUUUCUCUGUGGAAUACCCCAACUAUGACUAUAUCUCCCUUGAUGGAAACAUUAGUAAUUAUAUUCCUUUUGAAACCCUACCUUUUGAUGAUCAGAGAUCAAGUAUAAAAAUUGUGCAAUCUUGCAAUGGCCUUCUCUUGUGUAGUAACUUGUGUAAUAGCUGGGAAUACAACAAAAGUGAUUGUACUUUUUACAUUUUCAAUCCAUUCACAAAGCAACAAGAACCUUACCUCAAUCUCAACUGCUAAGACAUGGUUUUGCGGAUCUUAGGAGUGUUAGCUUAGCGUUCGAUCCAUUCACAUCUCCGCAUUACAAAGUUAUAUCUAUUUGGAGUACGACUCCAAAUACAACUAACUAUAGAACUGAAAUAUAUGAUUCUGAAACAUCCUCUUGGAAGUUGUCUGGAUUUGAUCCGCAUACUAUGCAGGAUGAAUGCAUACUAUCUUGCCCAGGUAUCUUCUGGGAUGGUUCUUUGUACUGGUGCUACAGUGGAAUCGGAACUGUGGUUUAUUUCGACAUUGAUCGAGAAUUAAUUGGGACAGUGCCUAGUCCUGUGCAAUGUGAUUAUAAGAAAAAAAUACAAAAUUGCUGAGUAUCGGGGCAAUUUCUAUCUUGUUGUUGCUUCAAAAUAUACCGACCGUUGUUUCGACGUAUUCAGAAUGGAUGCUGCUUACACUAGUUGGAAUUUUAAAGGCCGGGUUGAUCUUAGGUUAAAUCCACAUCGUGAAUUUGACGGCUCUCCUCCUAAGUGUUUUUAUGAUUAUCUCUUGUUCAUCGUUGAGGGAGAAGAAGAAUCGACAAAGAUGGUGUUGCUAACGAGAGAGAGUAAGAUUGUCUCGUAUGAUCUGAAAGAAUUGAGCUUUGGAAAAAUAUAUGAUCUAUCACCAGAACAAGAUUUACCUGUACGUCCCAACUUUUAUCAAAGUAUAGAGUCGCUAGCUUGUGUUUAGUCAUCAAUUAGCUUGAACUUGAGUAAACGUUCAAGUCUAGAUUUUGAGGCAGUUAUUGUAUGGCUUAUGAUCACUGGGAUGGAAGAAGCAGGGAUCUGAACUCUUACAUUUGCCUCUUCGGUGCAGUCAAGCAAGGAUGUUAUGUUGCUCCAAUCUGAAGGUAUAAUAGCGAGUUCUUGAAAGAGCGAUGCUAUUGUGGAUGUGUAGGACACAGUGUUAGUUAUGAAUCUUAAAUGAGCUCACCAAAAAUCUGAGAAGCUUUCACAAUGAUUAGGCUACAAUCUUUGCUGUGGCAGUGACUGUUCUGCUGGUUCUGUGGGUGCUUGUAUGAAAAUGUAUUCAGAAAUUGGUGAAAUCUUAAUGCUCGAAGAAAUUUAGAAAAUACUUACUUGAUUGUUUCUGUUUUAGUCAAGCCAUUUACCAUGAAGUCUGGAUCCUAUAACCAUUGUAGCAUGUUUUUAUGAUUAGAUUUCCUUUUCGAUUUCAAGA